GAUGAACGCUGGCGGCGUGCCUAAUACAUGCAAGUCGAGCGAACAGACGAGGAGCUUGCUCCUCUGACGUUAGCGGCGGACGGGUGAGUAACACGUGGAUAACCUACCUAUAAGACUGGGAUAACUUCGGGAAACCGGAGCUAAUACCGGAUAACAUGUUGAACCGCAUGGUUCAACAGUGAAAGACGGUCUUGCUGUCACUUAUAGAUUGAUCCGCGCCGCAUUAGCUAGUUGGUAAGGUAACGGCUUACCAAGGCAACGAUGCGUAGCCGACCUGAGAGGGUGAUCGGCCACACUGGAACUGAGACACGGUCCAGACUCCUACGGGAGGCAGCAGUAGGGAAUCUUCCGCAAUGGGCGAAAGCCUGACGGAGCAACGCCGCGUGAGUGAUGAAGGUCUUCGGAGCGGAAAACUCUGUUAUUAGGGAAGAACAAAUGUGUAAGUAACUAUGCACGUCUUGACGGUACCUAAUCAGAAAGCCACGGCUAACUACGUG
rnacentral:rRNA from 1 species